AGCUGUCCUGAUUUUGCCUUCAGGGAACAUCUCCCACUGUCCUCUGUUCCAAGAGGAUUAUGUUCCAACAGGACAAGGGAAAAAUACUAAUAAUGUGAUAAUAAAGAAGUAUAUUAUUUAGUGAAUUAGUAUAUUGGGAGUUUAUGAGGCUUAUGGAAAAAUGAAAGGUAGAGUAGAAAAAUGGGGCCUGGCGGCCGGUUGAAGCUUUCUCAAAAUGAAAGUGAACACAAACAAUGGAACCUAAGAUAUCUGUUGGGUAAGUUUUUUUUCAUAGCCAUACAGUGUGACAAAUUACCAGUGAUUCAAUAACAAAGCAAUUUGGCAACAAAUGUUUGGAGGUAUGUAGACUAAUGCAAAAAUGUUGUUCAGUAUUUGCACUGUUAAUAUUGAUAGUUCAUUUAAAAAUGCUAUUCUCCUAAAUUAUCAGUUAGAGCAAGAAAUAAUUGUUUAUUUUGUUGGGAACCUAGCUUUCAGGAUUAGUGAAAAGGAGGGUCAGUUGUUGAUCUCACAGUUUGAAUAAGAACUGUAUGUGGUUAUGACUGAAUCAAACAAGUUAAUAUGUAGUCAUGUUUGCAUAAAACAGUAAAUCAAACAUAUUUUGGCUUUUUAUUCCCCACUGAAACAGCCCAUUAGAAAUGUCACUGCCAAAAUGCAUCCCGAUUCCCAGAUUUUGGUUUCCGAUGCUAUUUUUCUGCAAGUCUGGGGGCUGAAAGGUACAAGGUGAUUCUAGAACACCUAUACUUUGUUGGAUCAUAAAACAAAGCUUUAAAUAAUUGAGUCAUUCAAACUUAUCCACAACCCAUCUAUACAAAAUGCUCCUACUAGCUAAAGGUUUGGCAGUGGGAACAUCAGGAGAGGGUUGGCUGGCAUCAAUUGGUACAAUACAUUUGAAUUCAUCAGUCCCUAAUGAUAUCCAACAAGGGCUGACAAGAUGAAUUUUCAAAGAAUAAUUGAAUAGAAUGUAUUUCAGUUGGGUUGGGCUUAUUAACUCAUUUAUUGUGUCAGUAAAAACUACUAGUAAAUGUAAAUGCACAAUUCAGAACGUGUUUUCUCCUUCACCACCAAUCUCUGGCCCCAGUCACUGCCCUCUUCCACCUGAAGGUCUGUACAGCCUCUCCAGAGGCCAUCUCCAGUCUGCCCGCGCCUACAUCGUGUCCUGCCAAGAGGUCCUAUGGCAAAGUUCUUUUGAGUUCCUUUUGUAGACACUCUCUGCCACUCCUCCCCAUCUCUUUAAAAAGGGUGUCUUUUCUUAUUUCCUCCGCGCCUUAUUUUAUCCUUUGGCCUUUGACUAUGUAAAUGCUGAUGAUCUCUUUGAGUUUCCAGCGCCAGCUUCUGGGGCCACCUGGAUUGGAGGACCUCAUGACGUCCAUGGGUGUCUGGCGCCACCUUGUGGUGAGUUCUGGAAAAUUCCCUCUGCUGUUCCCGAGCGCAAUGAAACUCCCUGGGCCUCCGGGGAUAAAGGAAGACUCUGACCAUUUUCCCAGAAUGAGGAGUCAUUUGGAAAAUUCCCACGGGCUUUGCCUCUAAUAAACUUUCAUUGUCAGUAGUGAAUUGAGACCUUAGUGGCCUGUCUCUUAGCUCUGUGUCUGUGUUCUAUCUGUCCCUGGCACAUUGGGGGCAUCACAGAGUGCCUGGCUCGCCCUGUGUACUGUGAUGCUAUUCCCAACUUCUAAAAAAAAGAAGAAGAAGAAGAAAAAGACUUCUUUUGAUGUCUUUCUUGCUGUGUGUCCUAUUUCCAACCAUCCUGGAUUAGACUGACUUUCUGGGGGGUGUUCCUCUGGCUACGGAUCACUAGGGGGCGCCACUGUGACACCUAGUCUGUGAAAUUGGGACCAGAAACAUCAGAGCUGAUCCCAAACUAUGGCCUUCUUUUUCUCGCUCCUGGGACCCUCAGGUCCUCAAGUUCGGGACAAACCAAGUGAGCCUGGAAAACCCACACCUGCUUGAAGUGGAGAAUGAGGCUCGCAACCAGAGGACAGCGCUUCCUCUUUGCCUCCUUCAGUGAGAGGCUGCCCUCUCCCGCACCUAGGAGCGAAGUCCAGGCCCCCAGGCUGUGGAGGAGGUUCCUGGUCCCUCCACUGCACCCCAUUGAAG
rnacentral:lncRNA from 1 species